GUCGAGUGGCGAACGGGUGAGUAACACGUGGGUGAUCUGCCCUGCACUUCGGGAUAAGCUUGGGAAACUGGGUCUAAUACCGGAUAGGAGCCAUCUUUAGUGUGGUGGUUGGAAGUUUUUCGGUGUAGGAUGAGCUCGCGGCCUAUCAGCUUGUUGGUGGGGUAAUGGCCUACCAAGGCGGCGACGGGUAGCCGGCCUGAGAGGGUGUACGGCCACAUUGGGACUGAGAUACGGCCCAG
rnacentral:rRNA from 1 species